rnacentral:rRNA from 1 species
ACUAAGCGUACACGGUGGAUGCCCUGGCAGUCAGAGGCGAUGAAGGACGUGCUAAUCUGCGAUAAGCGUCGGUAAGGUGAUAUGAACCGUUAUAACCGGCGAUUUCCGAAUGGGGAAACCCAGUGUGUUUCGACACACUAUCAUUAACUGAAUCCAUAGGUUAAUGAGGCGAACCGGGGGAACUGAAACAUCUAAGUACCCGAGGAAAAGAAAUCAACCGAGAUUCCCCCAGUAGCGGCGAGCGAACGGGGAGCAGCCCAGAGCCUGAAUCAGUGUGUGUGUUAGUGGAAGCGUCUGGAAAGGCGCGCGAUACAGGGUGACAGCCCCGUACACAAAAAUGCACAUGCUGUGAGCUCGAUGAGUAGGGCGGGACACGUGGUAUCCUGUCUGAAUAUGGGGGGACCAUCCUCCAAGGCUAAAUACUCCUGACUGACCGAUAGUGAACCAGUACCGUGAGGGAAAGGCGAAAAGAACCCCGGCGAGGGGAGUGAAAAAGAACCUGAAACCGUGUACGUACAAGCAGUGGGAGCCUCUUUAUGGGGUGACUGCGUACCUUUUGUAUAAUGGGUCAGCGACUUAUAUUCUGUAGCAAGGUUAACCGAAUAGGGGAGCCGAAGGGAAACCGAGUCUUAACUGGGCGUUAAGUUGCAGGGUAUAGACCCGAAACCCGGUGAUCUAGCCAUGGGCAGGUUGAAGGUUGGGUAACACUAACUGGAGGACCGAACCGACUAAUGUUGAAAAAUUAGCGGAUGACUUGUGGCUGGGGGUGAAAGGCCAAUCAAACCGGGAGAUAGCUGGUUCUCCCCGAAAGCUAUUUAGGUAGCGCCUCGUGAAUUCAUCUCCGGGGGUAGAGCACUGUUUCGGCAAGGGGGUCAUCCCGACUUACCAACCCGAUGCAAACUGCGAAUACCGGAGAAUGUUAUCACGGGAGACACACGGCGGGUGCUAACGUCCGUCGUGAAGAGGGAAACAACCCAGACCGCCAGCUAAGGUCCCAAAGUCAUGGUUAAGUGGGAAACGAUGUGGGAAGGCCCAGACAGCCAGGAUGUUGGCUUAGAAGCAGCCAUCAUUUAAAGAAAGCGUAAUAGCUCACUGGUCGAGUCGGCCUGCGCGGAAGAUGUAACGGGGCUAAACCAUGCACCGAAGCUGCGGCAGCGACGCUUAUGCGUUGUUGGGUAGGGGAGCGUUCUGUAAGCCUGUGAAGGUGUGCUGUGAGGCAUGCUGGAGGUAUCAGAAGUGCGAAUGCUGACAUAAGUAACGAUAAAGCGGGUGAAAAGCCCGCUCGCCGGAAGACCAAGGGUUCCUGUCCAACGUUAAUCGGGGCAGGGUGAGUCGACCCCUAAGGCGAGGCCGAAAGGCGUAGUCGAUGGGAAACAGGUUAAUAUUCCUGUACUUGGUGUUACUGCGAAGGGGGGACGGAGAAGGCUAUGUUGGCCGGGCGACGGUUGUCCCGGUUUAAGCGUGUAGGCUGAUUUUCCAGGCAAAUCCGGAAAAUCAAGGCUGAGGCGUGAUGACGAGGCACUACGGUGCUGAAGCAACAAAUGCCCUGCUUCCAGGAAAAGCCUCUAAGCAUCAGGUAACAUCAAAUCGUACCCCAAACCGACACAGGUGGUCAGGUAGAGAAUACCAAGGCGCUUGAGAGAACUCGGGUGAAGGAACUAGGCAAAAUGGUGCCGUAACUUCGGGAGAAGGCACGCUGAUAUGUAGGUGAAGUCCCUCGCGGAUGGAGCUGAAAUCAGUCGAAGAUACCAGCUGGCUGCAACUGUUUAUUAAAAACACAGCACUGUGCAAACACGAAAGUGGACGUAUACGGUGUGACGCCUGCCCGGUGCCGGAAGGUUAAUUGAUGGGGUCAGCGCAAGCGAAGCUCUUGAUCGAAGCCCCGGUAAACGGCGGCCGUAACUAUAACGGUCCUAAGGUAGCGAAAUUCCUUGUCGGGUAAGUUCCGACCUGCACGAAUGGCGUAAUGAUGGCCAGGCUGUCUCCACCCGAGACUCAGUGAAAUUGAACUCGCUGUGAAGAUGCAGUGUACCCGCGGCAAGACGGAAAGACCCCGUGAACCUUUACUAUAGCUUGACACUGAACAUUGAGCCUUGAUGUGUAGGAUAGGUGGGAGGCUUAGAAGUGUGGACGCCAGUCUGCAUGGAGCCGGCCUUGAAAUACCACCCUUUAAUGUUUGAUGUUCUAACGUGGACCCGUAAUCCGGGUUGCGGACAGUGUCUGGUGGGUAGUUUGACUGGGGCGGUCUCCUCCUAAAGAGUAACGGAGGAGCACGAAGGUUGGCUAAUCCUGGUCGGACAUCAGGAGGUUAGUGCAAUGGCAUAAGCCAGCUUGACUGCGAGCGUGACGGCGCGAGCAGGUGCGAAAGCAGGUCAUAGUGAUCCGGUGGUUCUGAAUGGAAGGGCCAUCGCUCAACGGAUAAAAGGUACUCCGGGGAUAACAGGCUGAUACCGCCCAAGAGUUCAUAUCGACGGCGGUGUUUGGCACCUCGAUGUCGGCUCAUCACAUCCUGGGGCUGAAGUAGGUCCCAAGGGUAUGGCUGUUCGCCAUUUAAAGUGGUACGCGAGCUGGGUUUAGAACGUCGUGAGACAGUUCGGUCCCUAUCUGCCGUGGGCGCUGGAGAACUGAGGGGGGCUGCUCCUAGUACGAGAGGACCGGAGUGGACGCAUCACUGGUGUUCGGGUUGUCAUGCCAAUGGCACUGCCCGGUAGCUAAAUGCGGAAGAGAUAAGUGCUGAAAGCAUCUAAGCACGAAACUUGCCCCGAGAUGAGUUCUCCCUGACUCCUUGAGAGUCCUGAAGGAACGUUGAAGACGAUGACGUUGAUAGGCCGGGUGUGUAAGCGCAGCGAUGCGUUGAGCUAACCGGUACUAAUGAACCGUGAGGCUUAACC